rnacentral:lncRNA from 1 species
AUGGCUCAGUGUGCCCACCGCGAGGCCCCGGCCUCCUCCUCCUCCUUCUCGUCGUCCUCGUCCUCAUGCCCGGGCUCCCACCCGGAGGCCUGCCGGGACCUGGGGGACGCCGUCCUCCUCCUGCUCGGCCUCAUCAUCGCCAUCAACAUCGGCCUCAACGUGGUGACGCUGGUGAGGUCGGGGAGGUGGCGCGGGCCCGGGGCCCCGCGGCGGCGGCACGAGGCGGGGACCCCGAGGCCGGGAGGGCCUCGGCGCUGGGGGGCCGCGGGAGAGGACGGCGGGCCUUCACGCUGCCGCGCCUUGGAUACCCCUAGAUCUGGCGCCGCCUCCGGGGUUCCCUACGUAGAGUUUUCCAUUAUUUUUUCCCAAUACGUAAGUACGGAAACCACCCUAGUUCCCGUCCCGGCCGAGAGCCUCCCCUUCCCUCCCUGUCUGUCUUCCUCCUACCCCCACCCCGACCCCACCUGUCUCCCCGCUCUCCCCACCUCGCCCUCCUUCCCGCACCCCGUCUUCUUCCCCCUCCCCUACCCACCUAUCUUCCUCCUCCUACCCCCCGGCCCCCUCCCCCACCUGUCUUCCCCGCCCCCUGACCCCCCUCCCCCUUCCCCGCCCAGCCCCCCACCCUCCCCUCAGGGGCCCUCAGCUUCUCCCAGGCCCCGAACUCCCAGCCCCGGCCGGCCUCCCGGCUGCGCGCCCCCCCUUCCCGGGGGUCCCGGACCACCGCCUCAGCCCACCGGCCCCCGACGUCCGGGUCCGCUGCACCAUGGACCCCGUGAAGCUGACGCUGACCCCGCCCGCCCUCCGCCACCACCGCGGGCCCAGCGCCCCGGACCCCUGGGCCCCCGACACGGACGACGAGAAGGCCGCCUGGCCCCGCCACUCCUCGUCCUGCCGCCACGGCUGGGACGGACCGGCCCAGCCGUACCCCGGGUUCGCCCCGGGGAACUGGAACCAGCGGGGCGGCCUCCCGGCCCCAGCCGCCGUGGGCGUCCGCUUCCCCCCGGGCCUGGGGGGCUCCACGGCCAAGCGGGGGGCGGCCGGGGGCGCCGAGCCGGGGGCCGAGGUCUACGUCUACCCGGUGGGCGGCACUCCCGGCGGCCCCGAGCCCCCCGGCCGCAGGUCCAACCCGGACCCCGGCUCCCCGCUGUCCUCCCGCCGCUCUCCCGCGCCCCCCAACCCGUCCUGGAUGCCCCUGAGCCACAGCCCCCGGCCCUCCCUCAGCCACGUGGUCUACGACGCCCGAGAGCUCAGGCGGAGGGUGCGCGAAGGGUCGGCCGAGGUCUCGCCCCCGGCGCCCCCUCCCGCCUCGCCCCAGCCCGCCCCCGGGGCCCUGGAGGAGCCGUACCGGGACUGGAUGUACCAGCCCACGGUGGGCCGGGCCUGGGAGCCGCUCGGGUCCGGCGGCUGCAAGCGGGAGGGGAAGGACGAUUAAAGAGAGGAGCGGGCCGAGCCAUCGGGCCGUGGUGCUUAUUGAGCGCCUGCUGCGGGCGCGGCGCUCUGCCGACCGCUCGGGAGAGGACGGUGCGACGGGGUUGGGAGACGCCAUCCCAGCCCACGGGCAGCUUCCGGUAA